rnacentral:rRNA from 1 species
UACGUAGGGCGCAAGCGUUAUCCGGAAUUAUUGGGCGUAAAGAGCUCGUAGGCGGUUUGUCGCGUCUGCCGUGAAAGUCCGGGGCUCAACUCCGGGAUCUGCGGUGGGUACGGGCAGACUAGAGUGAUGUAGGGGAGACUGGAAUUCCUGGUGUAGCGGUGAAAUGCGCAGAUAUCAGGAGGAACACCGAUGGCGAAGGCAGGUCUCUGGGCAUUAACUGACGCUGAGGAGCGAAAGCAUGGGGAGCGAACAGGA